GACGAAGGGGCCUAGCGUUGUUCGGAAUUACUGGGCGUAAAGCGAGUGUAGGUGGUUGUCGUAGUCAGGCGUGAAAGCCUUGAGCUCAACUCAAGAAAUGCGCUUGAUACUGGGCAGCUAGAGGACCGGAGAGGAUAGUGGAAUUCCCAGUGUAGUGGUGAAAUACGUAGAGAUUGGGAAGAACACCAGUGGCGAAGGCGGCUAUCUGGACGGUUUCUGACACUAAGACUCGAAAGCGUGGGGAGCAAACAGG
rnacentral:rRNA from 1 species